CUCCGUGCCAAAGGCAUCUGCACCAUUAAGUAUGAGCCUGUUUGCGGCUCUGAUGGCAAAACAUAUGAAAACAGAUGCCGGUUCUGUUAUUCAGUUCAACGGAGUAGCAAGCUUCUUUUCCUCAAACAUGCUGGGGAAUGCAGAGCACUGGCAUAGUAGUCUUCACACUCAUUUUUCCCUUGCAAAGUCUGCAAUCAAACAUGCUCUUUCUUGCUCCAGAGGACUGCUGUGUAUUGGUCUCUGCUUUGUCUGAUCAAUAAAUUAAAUUCAGCCGC